CGCGCCGCGUCAGUCCCCGUGCGUCUCUGCUGCCUUGACCAUGGCGGGCGCUGUAGGAGCGGAGAGGCUGCAAGUGCUGAGGCGCCGUGGAGGAAGCCGUGGGAGGCAAGAGCAUGAGGAGCUGGUGCCUGUGGCAGAUUUGCACCUGCAGGAUAGUCAGGAGUGAGGAAUGGUGUCCUGGACCUCAACGCCCGACUACCGGAGUUUAUGGGGAAGGACAGGAGUAUAGGGACGUCUCCACAAUAUUCCUGUCUUCUGGAACGGGAGACUGAACUUGGAGCUGGACACCUUUGAGAUAUUGAGUGCUUCAUCACCGAAGAUGCUGUUGCUGGGAGACCACAGAGCAGAAGUUUCUAACCUGAUGUCCGUGGUUAUCCAAGAAAACCACAUACUUGGAUGAAAAAGAAUUACAUCUUCAUUGUCACUAAGCUCUAACUGAAUUUUAGUAUUUUUCUUCAAUUAUAGAAACAUAGGCCACAAGUACAGUAGCAUUAAUAUCUGUGAUUUUGUUACCAAUAGAAAUCAUAGAUAUUUGCACAUCACAAUUAUGACAGGGGUCUCAAAAUAUCAUUUAUAUUCAUCACUAUAUUAAAAUUAAAGUACAACUAUAUCUUGUUAUUUUGUGUGUUAAUAGAGAAGCAAAUCUAUAUUGCAUCUUUAAAUUAAAAACCCUUCUCGAGACAGUAGCCACAGUCCUCUCCAGACCACCAGAGGGAGCCGUGGCACAGAAAUGUUGAAUGUAGAGGGAUCCAGGAUUAGAUGAUCUCUAUGGUCUCUUCUAGGUAUGAAAGUGUCUGUUUAUUCUAGGAGUAUGCAAAGGCUUUAGAAUAUGAGAAAAAAGACUGCUGAUAAAUUUCCCAAUGUGGAUUCUCUCCACAUUUUGAAAAUCAAGAAAUGCCAUAAAGCAGCUUUCUCAGUCAGGUUACUCCAAGUUAUUGAAGCAUGAGUUUGCUGCUUUCUGAGGGAUGACCUUAGCAUGAGGUCUUCCUUUUGAGAAUUACAAAGGGUACUGGAAGACAUAUCAGUUAGGGUGCUUGCAAUAUUGACAGCCCUUCUAAGAACAGGUCUCAAGGCACCUAUUUUGCUUUACACUGUGACCCUUCCUCCCACUUUCCUCAAAGGCACAGAUGACUGGAUCUAGUGUGGACAUCUGCCCAAGGGUAGUGAGCUGUAUAACAUUAAACAUUCCUCCAGUUUCUCAUCAGUAAAACGAGGUGGAUAACAGUAUCUUCCUCAUAGAGGCAGAAACUGAAUGAAACGAAGUAACCUGCCCAAGGUCUGUCACCUGUCAGCUGGACCAGAUCCCAAGUGUGUCUGACUCUAUUACGCCACAUUUCACAAAAAUACCUUGGCAGUUCAAGGCAGGAAUGUGCAUUCCUUUUAAAAUGUGUGUCUUUUUAAUUGAGGUAUAAUUCAUACACAAUAAAAUAAUCAGAUAUCAGGUGUGCAGUUUUACAAGGUUUCACAAUUGUAAGCACUUACGUAACCAUGAUCCAAAGCAAGGUAUGCAAUGUUUUCAUCAUCCCUUUCUUACCUCUUUCCAAUCAAUUGUCCCCCCCCGCAGGCAGCCACUCGUUCAUUUCUAUCAGUAUACAUUAGUCUUGCUUGUUCUUGGACACCUAGGCUAGAGUGCAGUGGUGUGAUGUCAGCUCACUACAACCUCUGCCUCUCAGGUUCACGCAAUUCUCCUUCCUCAGCCUCCCUAAUAGCUGGGAUUACAGGCACGCAUCACCACGCCCAGCUAAUUUUUGUAUUUUUAGUAAAGACUAAAAAUACAAAAGGGUAUUGUAGUAGGGUUUAAUCAUAUUGGCCAAGUUGGUCUUGAACUCCUGAUCUCAGGAGAUCCGCCCACCUAGGCCUCACAAAGUGCUGGGAUUAAAGGAAUGAGCCACCAUGCCUGGCCUUUGCUUAGCGUGUUUCUGAGAUUCACUCAUAUCAUUGUGCAUGUCAGUAGUUAUUUCAUUUUCUUUUAUUGCAGAAUCAUGUUCACAUUGUAUAAAUAUACCAUAGUUUCUAAUCUAUUCCCCUGUCAAUGACUUAUUAUUAUCAAAGUUGAACAUUCUGGAAUAAAGCUUUUUGUGAACAGUUUUUUCAGGUAAAUACCUGUCAGUGAAACUGCUAGGUCAAUGGUAGGUGUAUGCCUAACAUUAUCAGAAGCUAGUGAAUAGUCUUCCAAAGUAGUCUAAACAUUUUACACAUGGAGCAGUGCCUGAGCGUUUCAGUUGCUUCACAUUCUUGCCAAAGUGGCCACUGUCAGUCUUUUUGUUUUUAGUUACUCACUGGUUAUAAAAUUGUAUGUCACUGAGGUUUUAAUUUCCAUUUCCCUGAUGCCAUCUACAUAUCUUCUUUUGUGAAGUGUCUGUUUAAGUCUGUUGCAGUGUGUGUGUGUGUGUGUGUGUGUGUGUGUGUGUGUGUGUGUGUUGGGGGAUAUUUAUUGUUAACUUGUAGGAAUUCUUUACAUAUUCUGCAUAUAAGUUCCUUAUCAGACAUAUGUUCUGCCAAUAUUUUUCCCAGUCUAUGGCUUAUCCAUUAUUCUUAAUGGUAUCUUUGAUGAGCAGAUCUUUAAAAUUUUGAUAUGAUCGGUCCAAUUUGAUAAUUUUUUUUUCUAUUUAGUGCUUUUUAACACAAAUGCAUUUGAAAAGCAGAUCAUGCCAUAUCACUCCCAUAUAAGACUCCUCAAUGACCUCCCAUGUUUUAGGAGUAAACUCUUGAGUCUUUACCGUAGACCUCAAAGCUCUGACUAAUCUGGUCCUCAGCCACUCCCACCUCAUUUCAUACCCCUCUUCCUUCUCCCUCACUGUACCCUAGUCACAGGAAUCUUAUUUCCUUUACGAGGCCACAUUGACCUUAUUCCAAUUUUAUGGUCUUUGCUUCUUUCUCAUUUUUCUGCACAGAUGGUUUCACCUCAUUCUUUAGGUCUGGGCUCAAAUACCACGUCUUAGAAGGCCCAUCCCGACCGUCCUCACUAAAGUGGCUUUCAUCUCACAGCCCUUACCACUGAGAAGUAUCUUAAAUUUAUUCACUGGUUUCUUGUCCAUCUUUUCUACUGGAAUGUCAAGACCAUAAACACUGUUCAACACUAGGACAGGAACAAACAUCAUGAUCUACAUGAAAACUCAGUUGACUUCUCUAGAGAGAGCUAGGGCCCCUUCCUUGGUGCUACCAUUGUACUUUGGUCAUCUUUUUAUUACGGAACUUGUCACACUGUUUUACAGUACUGUAUCUGUUUACAUGACUGCCUCCCUCCUCUGACUGUGAGCUUCUCAAGGAGGAAGUCAUCUCUACAUCGCCAGACCUGGGAGGAGUAAGCACUGGGCAAACAAUUGUUGAAUAUCCAAUGAAUGGAUGGAUAUUUGGGUAUACAAUAAUGGAUAUAGUAUUAUGUCUAAAGAGAAAAAAUAUAUCCUACAAAUGUCCUAAGAUAAUGAUGUCAUAAGUAACAUGAUGGAUUGCAGAAUGGCAGCUCAACACUAUUUCCCCCUUCUGUACUCUCUCUUGCAUCUCAGGAGGUGAAAGCCUAGAGACUAUAUUUCUUAGAAUCUCUAAGUUA